GGACAUGUGGUUUAAUUCGAUGAUACGCGAGGAACCUUACCUGGGCUAGAACGCAUUCGGAAUCAGGCCGAAAGGCCUGCGCCAGCGAUGGCCGCUUGCGAGGUGCUGCAUGGUUGUCGUCAGCUCGUGCCGUGAGGUGUCGGGUUAAGUCCCAUAACGAGCGCAACCCCUACUGCUAGUUGCCAGCGGGUCAUGCCGGGACUCUAGCGGAACUGCCAGCGUAAGCUGCGAGGAAGGUGGGGAUGACGUCAAAUCAGCACGGCCCUUACGUCCAGGGCUACACACGUGUUACAAUGGCCGGUACAGAGGGCAGCCACCCCGCGAGGGGGCGCGAAUCCCGAAAGCCGGUCCCAGUUCGGAUCGGAGUCUGCAACCCGACUCCGUGAAGCUGGAUUCGCUAGUAAUCGCGCAUCAGCCACGGCGCGGUGAAUACGUUCCCGGGCCUU
rnacentral:rRNA from 1 species